rnacentral:misc_RNA from 1 species
UCCCCGUUGACCGGGGCAGUCUCGUGUGACACAUGUAACACACGACAAGGGUUGCGCUCGUUGCGGGACUUAACCCAACAUCUCACGACACGAGCUGACGACGACCAUGCAGCACCUGUCACCAGGCUCCUUGCGGCACUCCUCCGUUUCCGGGGGAUUCCUGGGAUGUCAAGCCUUGGUAAGGUUCUCCGCUUAGCGUCGAAUUAAACCACACGCUCCACCGCUUGUGCGGGUCCCCGUCAAUUCCUUUGAGUUUUAAGCUUGCGCUCGUACUCCCCAGGCGGGGUGCUUAACGCGUUAGCUUCGACACACAAGGGGUCUAAUCCUCAUAUGCCUAGCACCCAUCGUUUACGGCGUGGACUAC